rnacentral:piRNA from 1 species
UGAGCUCUUUAGAAGGUUAGGUCUGGC